UUACAUGUUGUUUUGCCAAAAUGAUUUGUGAGAUGUAUGAUAUUUAAUCAUGUAAACAAAGUUCAAAGCAAUUAAGGUAUUUUGUUUCAUUUCUUUAAAGUGUUUUAUACACCGUCUGUACUAGCCACUAUUUAGCUUACAAAUAGACCGACUACGAAUAACCCACGUUUAGCCCAGAAAUAACCAUUAAUUUAAUUACAUGUGGUUUUUGCCAAAAUAACUUGUGAGAUGUAUGGUAUUUCAUUGUAAGCAAAGUUAACAGCGAUUACAAGGUUUGUUUAAUUUCUUUAAAGUGUUUUAUGCACCGUCGUACAUAUAGCCACUAUUUAGCUCAUAAAUAGACCGACUACGAACAAACCAUGUUUAGCCCAAAAUAACCUUGAAUUUAAUAAAAUUUUGUUUUUGUCAAAAUAACUUGCAAAAUUUAUGAUAUUUCAUCAGGCAUGCAAAGACACCAGUGAAUGUAAGAUGUUUGGUUUUAUUUAUCUUAUCUGAAUAUCUGCUGUCACGCAUAACAUUCAUUAUUUGACCGUAUUUCAAAGAUAAACAAAAUCCAGUUACAACUCCGAACCGCUAGAUGGCAGCAGUACACAAACACGAGGCCAAAUCUCACGAGAAAGAUUUCCGCGGUUUGAAAAGCAACAACAUCAGCGAGCAGCGAUGAGGAAAGCAAUCUACCACACUCGUUUGGUUUUGUGUCAAAGCUCUGCGAAACUGGAGGGAGAAACUUGAGAGACUGUGCCGGAAGAAUGCUGGACAGAGUUCACUAAAAUUCAUUAAUUUCAAAGUUCAACAUGAAUGGUGGUGGUCCACUGCAGAAGCAAGCAUUUGAAAAAACAUCAGUUCUCAGUUAUUAAAGAUGCUGUGUUGAACAACUUCCCAGCAGCAACAGAACUGGACGUGAAGGAUGCAAUGGGGGCAUUUCAAACAGUCACCAGGGAGCACGGGGGGGGGGUAUAGAAAUUAGUACAAUUAAUAAGUUGACGUGAACUGAAGAUAGUUUGUUAAUGUUUAGAUGUUAUUUCAUUUUUAAAAUUGUAUUUUGUUAUAUAUGCUUUUAUUUUGUUACUGUUUUUAUUCUUUUUGUUAAGUAGUUUUUCUUAAUUUUGUCUUAUCUGAAUUUCUAUUGUAUUAACAAUAUUUUUUUGUAAUAAAUUGCAUGAUUGCAUGUUUAUGAGAACCUUUUUUAAUGGAUUAAAAAGAAUUCUUUAGCCAUUCUUUUGUUGUUUAUUAGACACACACGUGUAGUCGUUUAAUAGCCGUCUAUUUAACGGCUAGUCUAUUCUUGGGCUAUGAUAGACGUCUACUAGAUUUUCAUUGACAGCCCAAAAUUAGCCUUGUUUUAGCCUAGACCCACAUUCACCGUCUAUUAGACGUAUAUAUGUAGACGUUUAAUAGCCGUCUAUUUGAUGACUAGUCUAUUCUUGGGCUAUGAUAGACGUCUACUAGAUUUUCACUGACAGCCCAAAAUUAGCCUUGUUUUAGCCUAGACGUCAGGGGGGUGUUUAGACGGCUACUAGACGUCUAUUAGCCGCAAAAUUGC